GAUGAACGCUGGCGGCGUGCCUAAUACAUGCAAGUCGAGCGAACGGACGAGAAGCUUGCUUCUCUGAUGUUAGCGGCGGACGGGUGAGUAACACGUGGAUAACCUACCUAUAAGACUGGGAUAACUUCGGGAAACCGGAGCUAAUACCGGAUAAUAUUUUGAACCGCAUGGUUCAAAAGUAAAAGACGGUCUUGCUGUCACUUAUAGAUGGAUCCGCGCUGCAUUAGCUAGUUGGUAAGGUAACGGCUUACCAAGGCAACGAUGCAUAGCCGACCUGAGAGGGUGAUCGGCCACACUGGAACUGAGACACGGUCCAGACUCCUACGGGAGGCAGCAGUAGGGAAUCUUCCGCAAUGGGCGAAAGCCUGACGGAGCAACGCCGCGUGAGUGAUGAAGGUCUUCGGAUCGUAAAACUCUGUUAUUAGGGAAGAACAUAUGUGUAAGUAACUGUGCACAUCUUGACGGUACCUAAUCAGAAAGCCACGGCUAACUACGUGCCAGCAGCCGCGGUAAUACGUAGGUGGCAAGCGUUAUCCGGAAAUAUUGGGGGUAAAGCGCGCGUAGGCGGUUUUUUUAAGUCUGAUGUGAAAGCCCACGGCUCAACCGUGGAGGGUCAUUGGAAACUGGAAAACUUGAGUGCAGAAGAGGAAAGUGGAAUUCCAUGUGUAGCGGUGAAAUGCGCAGAGAUAUGGAGGAACACCAGUGGCGAAGGCGACUUUCUGGUCUGUAACUGACGCUGAUGUGCGAAAGCGUGGGGAUCAAACAGGAUUAGAUACCCUGGUAGUCCACGCCGUAAACGAUGAGUGCUAAGUGUUAGGGGGUUUCCGCCCCUUAGUGCUGCAGCUAACGCAUUAAGCACUCCGCCUGGGGAGUACGACCGCAAGGUUGAAACUCAAAGGAAUUGACGGGGACCCGCACAAGCGGUGGAGCAUGUGGUUUAAUUCGAAGCAACGCGAAGAACCUUACCAAAUCUUGACAUCCUUUGACAACUCUAGAGAUAGAGCCUUCCCCUUCGGGGGACAAAGUGACAGGUGGUGCAUGGUUGUCGUCAGCUCGUGUCGUGAGAUGUUGGGUUAAGUCCCGCAACGAGCGCAACCCUUAAGCUUAGUUGCCAUCAUUAAGUUGGGCACUCUAAGUUGACUGCCGGUGACAAACCGGAGGAAGGUGGGGAUGACGUCAAAUCAUCAUGCCCCUUAUGAUUUGGGCUACACACGUGCUACAAUGGACAAUACAAAGGGCAGCGAAACCGCGAGGUCAAGCAAAUCCCAUAAAGUUGUUCUCAGUUCGGAUUGUAGUCUGCAACUCGACUACAUGAAGCUGGAAUCGCUAGUAAUCGUAGAUCAGCAUGCUACGGUGAAUACGUUCCCGGGUCU
rnacentral:rRNA from 1 species